CCUACGGGCGGCAGCAGUAGGGAAUCUUCCACAAUGGGCGAAAGCCUGAUGGAGCAACGCCGCGUGGGUGAAGAAGGUCUUCGGAUCGUAAAACCCUGUUGUUAGAGAAGAAAGUGCGUGAGAGUAACUGUUCACGUUUCGACGGUAUCUAACCAGAAAGCCACGGCUAACUACGUGCCAGCAGCCGCGGUAAUACGUAGGUGGCAAGCGUUAUCCGGAUUUAUUGGGCGUAAAGGGAACGCAGGCGGUCUUUUAAGUCUGAUGUGAAAGCCUUCGGCUUAACCGGAGUAGUGCAUUGGAAACUGGGAGACUUGAGUGCAGAAGAGGAGAGUGGAACUCCAUGUGUAGCGGUGAAAGGCGUAGAUAUAUGGAAGAACACCAGUGGCGAAGGCAGCUUACCAAACUAUAUCUGACGUUGAGGCACGAAAGCGUGGGUAGCAAACAGGAUUAGAUACCCUAGUAGUC
rnacentral:rRNA from 1 species